rnacentral:rRNA from 1 species
CCUACGGGCGGCAGCAGUGAGGAAUAUUGGUCAAUGGGCGCGAGCCUGAACCAGCCAAGUCGCGUGAGGGAAGACGGUCCUAUGGAUUGUAAACCUCUUUUGUCGGGGAGCAAAAGACGCCACUCGUGGCGUUCCGAGAGUACCCGAAGAACAAGCAUCGGCUAACUCCGUUCCAGCAGCCGCGGUAAUACGGGGGAUGCGAGCGUUAUCCGGAUUUUUUGGGUUAAAGGGGUGCGCAGGCGGAAGAUCAAGUCAGCGGGAAAAUUGAGAGGCUUAACCUCUUCGAGCCGUUGAAACUGGUUUUCUUGAGUGAGUGAGAGGUAUGCGGAAUGCGUGGUGUAGCGGUGAAAUGCAUAGAUAUCACGCAGAACUCCGAUUGCGAAGGCAGCAUACCGGCGCUCAACUGACGCUCAUGCACGAAAGUGUGGGUAUCGAACAGGAUUAGAUACCCGAGUAGUC